ACGAACGCUGGCGGCGUGCCUAAUACAUGCAAGUCGAACGAGUGACCCCUCGGUGGCAACACCUUGGGUGAUCUAGUGGCGAACGGGUGAGUAACACGUGAGGAACCUGCCCCGAAGACCGGGAUAACCAGAGGAAACCCUGGCUAAUACCGGAUACCCCCACCGGACCGCAUGGUCUGGUGAGGAAAUGGAUUCCGCUUCGGGAGGGCCUCGCGGCCUAUCAGCUUGUUGGUGGGGUAACGGCCCACCAAGGCGUCGACGGGUAGCUGGUCUGAGAGGACGAUCAGCCACACUGGGACUGAGACACGGCCCAGACUCCUACGGGAGGCAGCAGUAGGGAAUCUUGCGCAAUGGGCGAAAGCCUGACGCAGCAACGCCGCGUGCGGGAUGAAGGCCUUCGGGUUGUAAACCGCUUUCAGCAGGGACGAAAAUGACGGUACCUGCAGAAGAAGCCCCGGCCAACUACGU
rnacentral:rRNA from 1 species